rnacentral:rRNA from 1 species
AUUGAACGCUGGCGGCAUGCUUUACACAUGCAAGUCGAACGGCAGCACGGGUGCUUGCACCUGGUGGCGAGUGGCGGACGGGUGAGUAAUACAUCGGAACGUAUCCAGAAGAGGGGGAUAACGCAUCGAAAGAUGUGCUAAUACCGCAUAUUCUCUGAGGAGGAAAGCAGGGGAUCGAAAGACCUUGCGCUUUGGGAGCGGCCGAUGUCUGAUUAGCUAGUUGGUGGGGUAAAGGCCUACCAAGGCGACGAUCAGUAGUUGGUCUGAGAGGACGACCAGCCACACUGGGACUGAGACACGGCCCAGACUCCUACGGGAGGCAGCAGUGGGGAAUUUUGGACAAUGGGCGCAAGCCUGAUCCAGCAAUGCCGCGUGAGUGAAGAAGGCCUCGGUUGUAAGACUCUUCAGUCGAGAAGAAAAGAAC